rnacentral:lncRNA from 1 species
GCUCUCUGCAGCGGCUCCUGGCAGCGCUACCAUGGGGCUGGGUAGGGAGGGAAAGGAGCCCGUCAGCACAGAUGCCACAUGCUAGGGCCUCGCCACUCCGGGUCAUUCGCAGACUUGCCCAAUGCAAAUCAGAGCCCAGUCCCCCUCACCUGGGGCGCGGGCCGUCUGGGGCGGCUGUGAGUCUCAGGGCUGGUCACCUGAGCUGGGCAGCGUCACGCUCCCCGAAGACUUUGACAGGCUGGGGGGCCGUCGGCGCCCCUUGCCCUAAAGAGCCGCAUGCAGACGCCUGCACUUCCAGCCUUCGCUCGGAGGCUGCGCCUCCCUCCCUGCUCAGAAUGCUGCCCGGGGCCUCUGCAGACAGACCGCCUCACAAAGAGCCCUCACCCUGGGGUCAGUGACAUCCUCAGUCGAUGGGUCGAUGAGUCACCUGAGGCCCCGGCGCCCCUCUCCAGUUGCAGAAUUAAAAGGCCACCGUGUUGUUGGUGUUGUAAAGGCCAGUUCACGGCUCCCGUGACGCAGGCUGACUGGCCUGCUGGGGCGCCACGGUUGUGCUCCACAGGGCCACCCAGAGGGCCUCUCUUGGGCUGUCCAGUCUGAGACUGCCAUGGGCACCCCGUUCUCCUGCUGGAGGCCGGGGUCUGCUGACCAAGCAUCGGGCCACAAGGUCCCAGCCCCCUCCCACAUGUAGACACCAAAACUUGCCUGGUGUCCCGGGCAAGGGACAUAUCACACAGGGGACAGUGAGAGGUCUGCCCGAGCCUGGGGCAGGUGACCCAACUGUUAGGAUGAUAGGGACCUUGUUUCAGAAUCCCUAAGUGUUUCCAAUUGUUUCCCACACACUCGAACACGGAUACUCAGGCACACCCAGCCACACACACACACACACACACACACACAGACCCAGACACACGUAGACACUGACACCCACGCAGACACAGACACGCAUACACACACACACAAACAUGCACGCAGACACAGACACACACACCCAGACAUGUCACACCCAGACACAGCACACACCCAGACACAGACACACGUAGGCACGGACACACACACCCAGCACGGACACAGCAGACACACACUCACCAGCACCCACUCAGGCCAGGUCCCUCUCACGUUCUCCAGAGCUACCUGCCCGUUCUCGUGCCCCAGAGGCUGGCCCCCUGGGCUCCCCCACAGCCAGGCGUCCCUGGGCACAGGCAGGGCCUCCGGAGCUGCCCCUCUGGGAGCCCAGACACACACUUCGUGACGCUCAGGUGCCGUCGGUCUCCUCCGCAUCAGGGUCAAAACGGAGUCGCCCCUGGCAGCCCCCAAACACACCAGGCUGGGCAGCACACGAGGCCUGGCGUGGGUGUCCUGAGGGGCUCGGCCAACCGAGUCACUCCGAGGCCACCCCACCCAGGGCGGAGGCUCUGGGGGACUCUGCCCUGCAGCCGUCAGCCCCGGAAGGCGCCACCCGGGUUUCAAUCCUGGGGCGAGGAUUACCUUUCACAUAUCUCGUGGAACUUCCUCAUUUUUCCUUUAGCACCUCCCUGGCCCCCCUCCUGAGAGCUCGGUCUGCUCCGCGCACCUGCUUGGCGGCGCCUGCCAGCCUCACGUGGACACCAGCAUCCCAGGAGGGUGACACGCGGAGCCCCGUGAGGCUGGAGGACUGCGGGGUCUUCCCUUGUGGGCACAGAGUGUGGGGGCGACUGUGAGGGUCGGCUUCUCCAGCACACAGAAGCCAGAGCAGCGUGUGGUGACCCGGCCCAGUGGUCAUGUACGUACGAGUCACGGACGAACACGCUGUGAGAAAUUGGCUUAGAGGGCUGGGGAGGCUGGAAAACCCCAAACCCGCGAGGAUCGUGUCCCAGUGGUAGCUGAAGGCCAGAAGCUGCCGUGGUGCAGGAAGGGCCCGUGUCCCAGCUGUGGGCAGUGGGGCAGGGCUCCCUCCUGUGGGCAGGCCCAGCCUUCUGCUCUAUGUGGACUUUCACCUGCUUGGGUGUGGCCCACCGGUGUCUGGGCAGGCCAUCGUCUCGUGCCGUGUACGGAUCCACACCCUUGGAGCAGCACCUAAGAUCAUGCUUUCCAGAACACCUGGCACCUGGUGUCCCGGGCAAGGGACAUAUCACACUAACCCUCCCAGGGACAAGGAAACAGCCCUGAGCAGAGAUGGUGGCGUGAGCUCACGGUGUGUGUUUAACCCACUGGGUGUUGCCCUGCAAUGACAAGGACCAGAACCACUGUCGGCAGGUGUCUCCGUGGGGCGUGUGGCUGCCCCCCAAAAUUCACACAGGAGUUUGCUUUCCCCUGGAGGCACGAGACGGUGGUGCUGGGGGGCCUCUGGGAGGUGGUCAGCAUCAGAGGAGGCCAUCGGUGGAGUCCCCACGCAGAGCCUGUGGCCUUGAGGGAAGGGGAGGGGCCAAGGAGACCCCCAGCCUCCCUGUGGACUCCGCCAGCCGGAAGCCACCUCCAGACGUGGACGCCUGGCCUGCCUGGGGCUGAGGGCCUCUUCUCCAUACUGUCCGGGGGACUGGGCACACCUCCCUUCAGCCCACACAGAGGCCCGCACGGAGCUCGGCGGCUUUGGACAAAACCCCUCUAUGAGCCUCACAGAAGCUGAAAUAAGCCGAUGCUGUCUGGGUCCAGACCCCGAGCCACGUGCCUGGGAGGGCCGAGGGGUGUUUCUGGCCCACCGUGCCCCGUGCCAAGGGCCGCAGGGGGCCAUGCGGUCCUAAGGCUGUGGCCAGCCAGACUGCACUUGGGACAGAAAACCUGAAUUCAUGGGAUGGUCAAUAUUGCCACAAAGUAUUCUUUCGAUUUUUUUUUUUUAACCAUUUAAAAAGGAAAAAAUCCCAGGUGAACAGAACACAGGCCAGAUCUGGGCAGCUAACUGCCAAGCCCCCGUUGGACCAGAGGGAGCGGGGGGCCAGGACUGCCCCUCCAUGGACCUGACCCUGGGCACUGCCCACGGGACCCCACAGCAGCUGGGUCUCUAGGAUGCUGACGGGGGGCUGAGCAGAGCCCUGAGACGAGCAGGGGGCCAUGAGCACGUGGGGACCAGGAGUCUUGGGGGACGAGACGCAGAGAGCCAGGUCCUGCGGGAGAGUAGGACCCUGCUGUGGAGGGGCCACUCGAGGCCGCCCAGCUGCGGAGACUGAGGGCCCUGGGAGGCGGCACCCCCCUCCCGCCAGCCCAGGCCCGCCUCGCCCCAGGACUGCUGCCUCCACCUCGCAGCACCCUGACCCGCGUCCUCCCCCGGCCCUGGACUCGCCCUCGUUCCUGCUUCUGUGUCCAGGGACAGAGUGGACGGGCCGGCCCUGCCCGUUCCCUGCCGCUUUGGCUCACCAGGGCGGUGAGCCAGAAGGGUGACGAGGUGACGAGCCAGCUUACGGGACCAGGGCUUUCCCAAGGCACUGGUCACCCUCCACACCACCACCUGUCCCAGGCCCAGCCGCUCAGUCUGCAGAGGACGGAACUGACCAAGAGCCCGGGGGACAGGCAUCACCCAGUCCCCUGCAGGCAGGGUGGACUGGAGGGUGGCCGUCCACUGGUCUCUCUGACACUGGUUUGUACACACCAUGAUUCAGACACCACGACAGCCAGCGUGAGCAGAGGCCUGCUCGGCCACCAGGAGGAAGCCCUGCACCAUGCGGGGCAGCAGCGCAGGCGGGACAAGUCCACCUCCCAACACAAAUCAGCCCGCAGCCACCUCAGGGGCGUGGGGAGCAGGGCCAGCCGGCGGCCUGCCUCCGUGUUCCUAGUGUCCCCCAGUACAGGUGCCGCCCAGCAGGCUCCUCAGCACCCAGCGCCUGCGGGGCCACCCCACUAUCGACACUUGCCGAGGACGGGGGCACUGGGCAAACUGUGGCCGGCACUGGGGCCUGUCCAGUCCUCAGCCCUGGAGGGAAGUGCCUGGCCGGUGGUCAGAGCCCUAGAAUCCGUGCUCUUCCCAUUUCACAGAUGGGAACCCCGAGACGGAAGGCAAAGCCGGGGGCCUGAAGUCACGCCCCGUGCCAAGAGGGAAGCCCCUCCCCCGUCCUCUGCACCCCCCGCCCGCCCCGGGCAGCCCUCCCCUGUUGUAGGGACGGCUGGCGGCAUUCAGCGUGAAAUGCAGGGACAAGACAGGUCAUCAGUGUGAAAUCGUCCCAUCAGCAGGGCCCGGCCGCCGGCCUCCCAUUAUGGCCAGAUGAAUGACCCCGUUUAGAGAAGUCGUUUAGGGCCUGCCACAGACAAUGACUCCUGUCAGAAGAUUUACCAGCGCUCACGGGCAAUGUGGCGGGAGGCCCCGGGCCGGCCCCAGGGAUCACCAGCUCAGGCAGAAAACCAAGAUUGCAGCGUGGGCCAUUUUGCUGCUGAAAUUCAUGCCUUUUGACCCCAAAUGGAGUGAUAAUCCCAGGGCUUGUUUCCACUUGAGCCUGGAGACGUCAUCAACAGCUGGCUCUGAGGCAGAACCUCGAACCGGCAGCCGGUGGAAAACAAGGCACCAAUCAUGCUGCGUGCGGGAAAACCUGGCUGGUAGCUUCAUUCAUCACCGCGGGCCCCUGCCGGUGUCCUCCGGGGGAAUUCCGGUGUUAACCAGGUGCGUGGUGAGACUUCCACUAAAGAAAAACGAUGGAAAACACGCCUCCUCCGGUCCCUGAAGGAAGACUGUAAACUUGAUCAUGGUUUGUUUUCUCCUUGGCUGCCAGGAAGCUCAGCAGGCAAGAGAAACCUGAGUGCAUGUCAGGCUGGCUCUUUCAAUUAGACUGUGCACACUCCAUUGUGCUUUGGAAGAAUAGAUUCU